rnacentral:rRNA from 1 species
UGGUUUCUCCCUUCUGACGAACCAUGAUGUCAUUUAUUUGGUGUUGUGGGGAAUCAGGACUGUUACUUUGAAAAAAUUAGAGUGUUUAAAGCAGGCUCACGCUUGAAUACAUUAGCAUGGAAUAAUGAAAUAGGACGUUUGAUUCUAUUUUGUUGGUUUCUAGGAUCGACGUAAUGAUUAAUAGGGAUAGUUGGGGGCAUUAGUAUUCAAUUGUCAGAGGUGAAAUUCUUGGAUUUAUUGAAGACUAACUACUGCGAAAGCAUUUGCCAAGGAUGUUUUCAUUAAUCAAGAACGAAAGUUAGGGGAUCGAAGACGAUCAGAUACCGUCGUAGUCUUAACCAUAAACUAUGCCGACUAGGGAUCGGAUGAUGUUAAUUUUUUAAUGACUCAUUCGGCGCCUUACG